UGCAUCAGCCGGGAAUCGAACCUGGGCCGCCCAGGCAGGCGAGCAGUCUACCAUUGAACCACCGAUGC